AUUGAACGCUGGCGGCAGGCCUAACACAUGCAAGUCGAGCGGAUGAGAGGGGCUUGCUCCUCAAUUCAGCGGCGGACGGGUGAGUAAUGCCUAGGAAUCUGCCUAGUAGUGGGGGACAACGUUUCGAAAGGAACGCUAAUACCGCAUACGUCCUACGGGAGAAAGUGGGGGAUCUUCGGACCUCACGCUAUUAGGUGAGCCUAGGUCGGAUUAGCUAGUUGGUAGGGUAAAGGCCUACCAAGGCGACGAUCCGUAACUGGUCUGAGAGGAUGAUCAGUCACACUGGAACUGAGACACGGUCCAGACUCCUACGGGAGGCAGCAGUGGGGAAUAUUGGACAAUGGGCGAAAGCCUGAUCCAGCCAUGCCGCGUGUGUGAAGAAGGCCUUCGGGUCGUAAAGCACUUUAAGUUGGGAGGAAGGGCUCAUAGCGAAUACCUGUGAGUUUUGACGUUACCAACAGAAUAAGCACUGGCUAACUUCGUGCCAGCCGCCGCAGUAA
rnacentral:rRNA from 1 species